UUAGUGCUGGUAUGAUCGC
rnacentral:sRNA from 1 species